CCCGUGCAAGCCUGCCGCCGCCCGCCUACGUCCCUGUCGCCCCCCGCUGCCCGUCUGCGUGGCUGCGUCCCUGCCGUCCGCUGUCGGCCCGUCGCCAUGAGCGGCUGAGCCCCUGAUUCGUCCCUCCCUCGGUAGCUAGGUCGACGAGCCUGCAGCUUGCGUCACCGGCAGCCGCGCCAGUGUGCCCCGACUCCUCGAGCGCCGAGGCUUCGGCGGUCGACAACGGUGCUGCCAGCCCUCCCCUGCAGGCUCCUCCGCAAGCUCCGCUCCCGAGAUGAAAUUUCUGCUUUGGGUGCUCGUCUCUGAACUCGGUACCUUCGAAGUUUACAGUGUUACUAAAUUUCAACACUUGUUCUCAGGAGGGGUCGUGGUGGAACAAACAGAGAGGCAAGAACCCAACCAUGCCAGUUGAUUAGAUUAGUUUUCUAUCACCUCCUUUUGUUUGAAUGCUUGCGGUUUGCCGGGUUAUGCAUGUUUAUUUUUUUUACACUACAAUUUGGUACCAAAUUCACCAAGCUAUUGAUUCGCAGUAUCCUAAAUGCUGAUGCUUGUUGUUGGAGUCCAGGAGUGAGGCGGGUUCUGCGGCGGCGUAGAGGAGCGCGGUGUACGCGCUGAUGCUGCCGUUUGACGGCAGCUUCCGGGCCAGAGCCUCGAGAACGAGCUCCAGUUCCGCUUCAAGAACGGUGAUCCUGAGGUGCAGAGGAUGAAACGAAGCAGUUGAUGCAAUAUUCAUCAACUCAGAGGAUAACGCUUUCAAGCUUCUGAAGAAAUCCAUCAAGAUGCUGUCCAAGAUCAAAGGAACUUUCAGUCAUAUAGAGGACAAGGAGAUCCCUGCAAGCUUGGACUGGUUUGGGUGGUGCACCUGGGAUGCAUUUUACAAAGUUGUUAACCCAAUAGGUAUUAAGGAAGGGUUUCAAAGGUGCCAAAGAGCUUGCUGAAAUCAAGGGAUUUCCAAGAGCAGUGCAUCCUCCCUUUAAUAGAACUAUCAUGUUUCUUUUCCAGAAGUGUCCAUCAUUCCCCUUAUCCUCUUGAAAAGACUACAUGAGCAGACAACACUCGAAUCGCUUCACCGUCCUAUUAAAGGAAUGAUAGACCAGUGAAGUGCACAGGAUCCUUUUGCUUCUGUUUCAUCUGGUGGGAAUAUGACGGCUACUAAAAACGCUGAAAUUGCAGGUAAAUGAGAACGAGGAUUUUAUACGAAGGAAAAGGGAGGAGGUCUCCUUUUCACCAAAUGACAAGGCAUCAGUUGAGAGCUUCCUUCAGGAUGAGAAGAGCAGCAUAAAUGCUUCAUUCACACGAUUUUAUGCAUCCAUAUCAGAAUACCGUCAGCCAAGAGGGAGAAAAACGUUAUAAAAUGCCAAUGGAAUUACAGGGAUCCAUCUGGAACUGGUUAGCUGCCAAAUGAGGGCUGAGGAUACGCAUUUGUAUGCCGAUUAGGUGCUAAAGUCGCCAGUGCAUAACCUGGACCGAUGCAGCUAGAGUUAUUCAGACCGGGCAUUGUGCGCUCAUCAAUUUUGAUGUUCAAUGUAGCUUCCCCUUUGUUAUAGUACAUUAGACACUGGAAUUGAUGUGAACAGUUAAAAGGGAUGAAUGCAAACACUCCCUUGUGCUCGUCAAUUAGGCGGCUUCACUUCGUUAUAGUACAUUAUACCGAAUCUUGUGAUGAUCUUCGACAGUCAAUACAGCGUUAUAUGCAGGAGCCAGAGCUAACGAAUUCAUGCGAA